rnacentral:rRNA from 1 species
UACGUAGGGUGCGAGCGUUGUCCGGAAUUACUGGGCGUAAAGGGCGCGUAGGCGGCCUGUUAAGUCGAACGUGAAAUCCCCGGGCUCAACCCGGGAACUGCGUCCGAUACUGGCAGGCUUGAAUCCGGGAGAGGGAUGUGGAAUUCCAGGUGUAGCGGUGAAAUGCGUAGAUAUCUGGAGGAACACCGGUGGCGAAGGCGACUUUCUGGUCUGUAACUGACACUGAGGCGCGAAAGCGUGGGGAGCAAACAGG